UAAGUGAAGUAAUAUAUACUUAGGUAUGUAUGGAUGUAAUUAAGUGAACUUGCUUUUACUGGCAGCAAAGUAAAAUACGAAAUAAUGUAAACGAUUUCUAAAACCGAGUAAGCUUUACGAGCGCGUCUCAAGAGCAAAAAAA